AAGAGAAGCCAGCAGUUGGUGAGCUACAAAGAGAGGCAGAGCUGGAGACACAAAGGCAGUUGCUGUUCUUGCUCCUUGGGAGCUGGUGGAUUACACUGUUCAUCAAUAGAGCCAGUAACAAACUCAAGUGCCAGUGGGAUCAUGCCUUCUUUCUUUGAGGAAACCAAGCACUAUGUGAGUCACUAUGACUCCCAGUGCUGCACCCUAGCCCAGGAAGAAGACUGGUCCCUUUAGAGUGGAGACCCACAACUGACUCAUCAUGUCCUGCUACGUUGACUUUUCAUCACUGGCCUAGCUGUUACUUUCUCUAGUUGAUUGUGGUGGUGGUUCAACCAUGAGACUGGAUGACUUCUUGAAUUGCAGUCUUUCUGUGCUGUGUUCAACUUUUGCCCAGCAUUUAUUUCCUUAUGAAUCUUUGUGUGUACAAACAUUGAACCAUCCUACCUUUUGAAAGAAGGUAUCAUUG
rnacentral:lncRNA from 1 species